GGGAUUUCUCUUGUUUUGUCUCUCGGGGGCGUCAUUUCCUACUUCUCUGGUGAGCUCCGGCGAAGCUAGAAAAUUAGAAUCAGGCUUCAAAAUUAAUGUGCUUUAAUCAUGUGUUGAAUAUAUGUAACAAGUGACUAUGGAUUUGUUGCAAAGUGCUAGAUUGAGAGACAAUGCCAAUGCCCGAUUUAAAUGUCCCGCUAGCUCAACUGAAGUUUCAGACUACAAGAAAAAAUGACUAUGCAAUGAGAGUUGCUUCUUUACAGUAUUGCUAUUUGGUUUAUGCCAAAUAUUGCUUUUAUUUUCUUGGCACAGAUCCUUGAUAAUUUGGCAUUGGAUUUUAGGAUACUCUUCAAUUAAGGCCUUUGUUUUGUUGGAUUUUAAGAUACUCUUCAAUUAAGGCCUGAGUAUCCAUUUUCUG
rnacentral:misc_RNA from 1 species